GAGAAUAGGGACUUAUCCAUACCACCAUCUUUGUCAACAAGAACUUUUCUUUCCCUAAACUUCCUGAACCUUUAGCUUGUAUGGGUGCGAUAUUCUUGAAAUUCCAAAUUGUAUGAGAACAAUCAUGAUUAUUUAUGUAAAAAGGGGAUAUCUGUAUCUUCUGAUCUGGAAGUGUUAUAUAUGAUAAUAGUGUAACAAAUACACAUGUACAUGUACGCCUAGUAAGUUUACGGUUUACAGGACACACAUCGACCAAAUAUACAACAAAAGUUCACUUCUGAAUUUAGGCAAGCAACAUAAAGAACUCAUAUUAAGAUACAACCAACAACGUGUGCACAUACAAGAAACAUAUGCAUGUCAAUUCCAGAUAUUUGAAUGAACCUAAGUAAAAUGUUACAUGACCUUUUAUGAAAUUUAUACUAUACAAUGCUUAGGCUGUAGCAUUACCUGUUCCAUUUCCGUCAAAAGAACAAUCUGAACUCGGCCUACAGCUUUACACCAAAAACAAGAUCAAUAACUUGUAGGCAUCACACAAUGAACUUUGUAGCUACAGCAGGAGGUUUGUGCCCAAAUUAUGUACUUAAAUGAGCAGAAGCACACACACAAAUUAAUUUUUGGUCAAUAUUCAACCUGGUAGCAGAUAUAUCAUCAAAAUUCUCAGGUAUAUCAUUACAGUACUUAAUCCCCAUCGACAAUAUAUCAAUUAGAUUUAUAUCUUCGAACCUGCAACAAAUCUAGAAAUUAAAGAACAUUGUUCAAAGAAGAAGAUUUUAUAUAAGACAUGAAGAAUGUAAUAUUCUAACUAUAAAUACUCUCUUGCACACCAAAUAAGAUAGCCUUAUGCAGAACAUACGAACGUGAUAGUAGUGUUCAAGAGAGAGGGAGAGAUCACUUUGUUCAAACUUUUCAUCAAGAUUCACCCUCUUUUUUUCCUCAGGUCUGCACAUGUGUGUUUAAAAAACAUAAAUCAAGGAGGCUGCAUAUUGGCAACCUAGAUUGGGGACAUGUACCAUGGCCAGCACCGUUUGGAACUCCAGCCUCGCUGUUCCUUCCCUCACUGCCAUUCUCCUCAUCCUCCCCUGCUCCUCCACACCCACCAAGAAGAUCAUGCCUCCCUGCUCGC
rnacentral:lncRNA from 1 species